GAUGAACGCUGGCGGCGUGCCUAAUACAUGCAAGUCGAGCGAACGGACGAGAAGCUUGCUUCUCUGAUGUUAGCGGCGGACGGGUGAGUAACACGUGGAUAACCUACCUAUAAGACUGGGAUAACUUCGGGAAACCGGAGCUAAUACCGGAUAAUAUUUUGAACCGCAUGGUUCAAAAGUGAAAGACGGUCUUGCUGUCACUUAUAGAUGGAUCCGCGCUGCAUUAGCUAGUUGGUAAGGUAACGGCUUACCAAGGCAACGAUGCAUAGCCGACCUGAGAGGAGGAGCGCCCACACGGGAACUGAGACACGGCCCAGACUCCUACGGGAGGCAGCAGUGGGGAAUAUUGGGAAAGGGGCGAAAGCGGGAGGGAGCAAGACCGGGUGGGUGAAGAAGGUCUUCGGGUUGUAAAGCCUUUUUGUUGGGAAAGAAAAGAAGUAAAGUAAUAGCCCCCCGUUUUGACGGUACCUAAAAAAAAAGCACGGGCUAACUUCGUG
rnacentral:rRNA from 1 species